CCUACGGGUGGCAGCAGUGAGGAAUAUUGGUCAAUGGGCGGAAGCCUGAACCAGCCAAGUAGCGAGCGGGAUGACGGCCCUACGGGUCGUAAACCGCUUUUGUACGGGGAUAACACCUUCCACGUGUGGAGGUUUGUAGGUACCGUGCGAAUAAGGGUCGGCUAAAUCCGUGCCAGCAGCCGCGGUAAUACGGAGGGUCCGAGCGUUAUCCGGAUUUAUUGGGCUUAAAGGGAGCGUAGGCGGGUCGUUAAGUCAGUUGUAAAAUUCUGCGGGCUAACCGCCCCCCUGCAGUUGAAACUGGACGCCUUGAGUACACAACAGGCGGGCGGAAUUCGUGGUGUAGCGGUGAAAUGCAUAGAUAUCACGAGGAACCCCGAUUGCGAAGGCAGCCUACCGGACUGCAACUGACGCUGAGGCUCGAAGGUGCGGGUAUCAAACAGGAUUAGAUACCCUGGUAGUC
rnacentral:rRNA from 1 species